rnacentral:rRNA from 1 species
UACAGAGGUCUCAAGCGUUGUUCGGAUUCAUUGGGCGUAAAGGGUGCGUAGGUGGCGCGCUAAGUCAGGUGUGAAAUUUCGGAGCUUAACUCCGAACCUGCAUUUGAUACUGGCGUGCUUGAGGACUGGAGAGGAGACUGGAAUUCACGGUGUAGCAGUGAAAUGCGUAGAUAUCGUGAGGAAGACCAGUGGCGAAGGCGGGUCUCUGGACAGUUCCUGACACUGAGGCACGAAGGCCAGGGGAGCAAACGGG